AUCGUUCAUCUCAUAAUUUGAGUGAGACGGAAGUAGGUAAAAGCCGAAGGAACGCAGU
ncrna:unclassified sequences Glutamine riboswitch